GACGAACCGUGCGAACGUUAUUCGGAAUCACUGGGCUUAAAGGGCGCGUAGGCGGGCUACCAAGUCCGGGGUGAAAUCCUCCAGCUCAACUGGAGAACGGCCUCGGAUACUGGUGGUCUCGAGGGAGAUAGGGGCACGCGGAACUGUGGGUGGAGCGGUGAAAUGCGUUGAUAUCCAUAGGAACUCCGGUGGCGAAGGCGGCGUGCUGGAUCUCUUCUGACGCUGAGGCGCGAAAGCCAGGGGAUCAAACGGG
rnacentral:rRNA from 1 species